rnacentral:tRNA from 1 species
GGGAAUGUAGCUUAGUGGUAGAGUGCUUGCCUAGUAUGCAUAAAGCCCUGAGUUCAAUUCCUCAGUACCA